UACGGAGGAUGCAAGCGUUAUCCGGAAUGAUUGGGCGUAAAGCGUCCGCAGGUGGCAAUGUAAGUCUGCUGUCAAAGCGUCUGGCUCAACCAGAUAAAGGCAGUGGAAACUACAUAGCUAGAGUAAGGUAGGGGUAGAGGGAAUUCCUGGUGUGAGCGGUGGAAAUGCGUAGAGAUCAGGAAGAACACCGGUGGCGAAAGCGCUCUGCUGGAACCUUAACUGACACUGAGGGACGAAAGCUAGGGGAGCAAAUGGG
rnacentral:rRNA from 1 species